rnacentral:rRNA from 1 species
UACGGGGGGAGCAAGCGUUGUUCGGAUUUACUGGGCGUAAAGGGCGCGUAGGCGGCCUCCGCAAGUCGACUGUGAAAUCUCUGGGCUUAACCCAGAAAGGUCAGCCGAUACUGCGGGGCUAGAGUGCAGAAGGGGCAACUGGAAUUCUCGGUGUAGCGGUGAAAUGCGUAGAUAUCGAGAGGAACACCUGCGGCGAAGGCGGGUUGCUGGGCUGACACUGACGCUGAGGCGCGAAAGCUAGGGGAGCGAACGGG